rnacentral:rRNA from 1 species
GUGUCAGCAGCCGCGGUAAUACGGGGGGUGCUAGCGUUAUUCGGAAUCAUUGGGCGUAAAGGGCGCGUAGGCGGUCUUUUAAGUCAGAUGUGAAAGCCCUCGGCUUAACCGAGGAAGUGCAUUUGAUACUAAGAGACUUGAGUAUGGGAGAGGGAAGCGGAAUUCCUGGUGUAGCGGUGAAAUGCGUAGAUAUCAGGAGGAACACCGGUGGCGAAGGCGGCUUCCUGGACCAAUACUGACGCUGAGGCGCGAAGGCGUGGGGAGCAAACAGGAUUAGAUACCCGGGUAGUCC